rnacentral:tRNA from 6 species
CGCGGGGUGGAGCAGUCUGGUAGCUCGUCGGGCUCAUAACCCGAAGGUCGUUGGUUCAAAUCCAGCUCCCGCAACCA